ACCCAGCUGAAGAGUCCUAAAUAGGAAGAAACGCUCAUCCUGGAU
rfam:Schistosoma curassoni strain Dakar, Senegal genome assembly, scaffold: SCTD_contig0001057